AGUGAACGCUGGCGGUAGGCCUAACACAUGCAAGUCGAACGGCAGCACAGUAAGAGCUUGCUCUUACGGGUGGCGAGUGGCGGACGGGUGAGGAAUACAUCGGAAUCUACUUUUUCGUGGGGGAUAACGUAGGGAAACUUACGCUAAUACCGCAUACGACCUACGGGUGAAAGCAGGGGAUCUUCGGACCUUGCGCGAAUGAAUGAGCCGGUGUCGGAUUAGCUAGUUGGCGGGGUAAAGGCCCACCAAGGCGACGAUCCGUAGCUGGUCUGAGAGGAGGAUAAGCCACGCUGGAGCUAAGACCCGGCCCAGACUCCUACGGAGGGCCGCAGUGGGAAGUGUGGGACAAGGGGGGCAAGCUUGAUCAAGCGAUGCAGCGUGGGUGAAGAAGGCCUUCGGGUUGUAAAGCGCUUUUGUGGGGAAAAAAAAUCAGCGGGUUAGGACCCCGCUGUUCGAAGGUACCCAAAGAAUAAGCACCGGCUAACUUCGUG
rnacentral:rRNA from 1 species